AGGCUUAUUAAUGAUCAGGCGUGUUGUCAGAUGCACAGUAUCAUCAGUGUCUUUGUCGCCGUUUGGUCAAAGGAGAGAACUCGACUAAGGAAUCAUUGGGGCAUACACUAAACAUCCACCAUUUCAACUAGAGGUCAAAUCAUUCAGAUAUCAACAGAACUGUUAUCUACCCUAAACAAACAGUUGAAAAUGGGCUGGUCCAGGAUAGUCCACUGGUUUCACUAAAGUACAGUUAAGUACACCAAAACAAAAAAGUACAUCAAGACAAAAAAGAGCCUGGAGUUAAAUGUUUGGACAGCGAAUACAUUAAUGUUUAAAAAUUACACAAAUGUGUCUUCUUUUCAUACUACAGGCUCAUCGUCAGCAACUGUGAGAGCAGGCCCCCCACUUAGUGUAUUUGACAAGCUGAGUUGGACACUCAGUAUGACAGGGUGUCAGUUUGUCAAAUACCCCAAGUGAGGGGUCACUUGUCUGCUGAGCAUCUCCCAUCAAUUGACUUCAAAGAAGAUCACUUCAUUGACCUCCAAGUGACUUUCACUGUUAAGACUUUCUCAGAGGCAACACAUUUUGAUUAUGUGAAAGAAAUUGUCUUUAUCUACUACGAGCGAUAGUGUACAUUUGAUCACGCACUGUCACUAAUUUCUCAUGCAUUUGGUGUAAGUUUGUAUGAUGGAACUUGGUACACUGUGUAACAAAUGUGUGUGUUUGUCUCUGUAUUAAAUAUUGCAUAAGUAGUGGGUUAUAUAAAAUUGAGGUCCCUAGUAUAUUUAUAGACGAUGUGUAUAGAUGAAUAGGAAUGAAUAGAAAUUGAAUAAUGAUUGCAUUUCUAUAGAUAACUUUUCAACAGGUUUCUAAGCACUUUAUGCAGGCCUGCAUUAUGUGUAAGGGUGACUGACCCACUACUACCAAUGUAAAGUAAUCACUGUGUGAUGCACAGGAACGGUGAGUGGUGGCUCUAUAAUGCUCAGCACAUAUCAGUUAUCACAGAGGAAAUUAAAGGAGAGUUUGUGCUAAUAUGAAGCAGAGUCUAAACAUUGCUUUUAAUUAAUUAAGGGAGAUAUAGAGCAGAUAUAUCACUUAUUUAUCUUGCACUCUGUGCUUUUACAAGGCCUAUUAUUAUGUUCAAUAACCUGCCUUUGGAUACUUCUAUAAAAUACCACCCUUUAUCUGUCAGUCCCACAUGCUUUCCUGUGCUCACAAAGCCACAUGAGCUUGAGUAAGAGCGGAUGUCUGUGCUAUCUUGUGAUUAGAUAGCAGUGUGUGACUCACAUACUUCAUAGCAAUGGCGGUCAAUAAAUAUGGAGCCAUCACC